GUUAAACUAGUUAAACUAGUACAGCACUCUGACUAACGGGUUAAACUAGUACAGCACUCUGACUAACGGAUUAAACUAGUUAAACUAGUACAGCACUCUGACUAAUGGGUUAAACUAGUACAGCACUACUAACUUAAACUAGUACAGCACUCUGACUAACGGGUUAAACUAGUACAGCACUCUGACUAACGGGUGAUACUAGUUUAACUAGUACAGCACUCUGACUAACCAGUGAUAUCAUUUAAACUAGUAAAACUAGCACAGCACUCUCACUAACGGGUGAUAUCACUUAAACUAGUUAAACUAGUACAGCACUCUGACUAACGGGUAGAUCACUCUGACUAACGGGUGAUAUCACUUAAACUAGUUAAACUAGUACAGCACUCUGACUAACGGGUUAAACUAGUACAGCACUCUGACUAACGGGUUAAACUAGUACAGAGGUAGUGGUAGUCAGAGGGUCGUGGUAGUCAGCAAGUAGUGGUAGUCAGCAAGUAGUGGUAAUGAGAGGGUCGUGGUAAAGGGUAGUGGUAGUCAGAGGUAGUGGUAGUCAGAGGGUCGUGGUAGUCAGAGGGUAGUGGUAGUCAGCAAGUAGUGGUAGUGAGAGGGUAGUGGUAGUCAGAGAGUAGAGCUUUACCGCUAGAAACACACAUCCAAUAGAAAGCAGAGAUAGACUAGAGACACACAUCCAAUAGGAAGCAGAGAUAGGCUAGAGACACACAUCCAAUAGGAAGCAGAGAUAGACUAGAGACACACAUCCA
ensembl:lncRNA